ACAAAAGAGUUCAAGUUAUACGCGAGUUAUUCAAAUAAAAACGCGAAUGGCAGAAUUAAUGUAAUUUAGUGUGAGCUCUCAAUGGCGAAACACUGGCCCGUCUUAUAGUAUAUGCUAUUGAAACAAAAACUUAAUUGGUGUCGUAAGGCUAUAGCUUCAGACCUGAAAGAUAGUAAACUAUGCCCGAGUAGACUAAAACCAGCGGAAACACUGGUGGAAACUCGAAGUGAUUCUGAAGUGCCAAUCGAUCACAAAACUUGGUAUAGGAGUUAAAAAAUUAAUCGAACCAUCUAGUAGCUGGUUUUCUCCGAAGUUUCCCUCAGGAUAGCUGGCGCCAUAAGUAGUUGUGUCCGUUAAAGUAAAUAAUUAAGGGAAUUGGUGGUGAAAUGCCGUCAACCUAUUCUCAAACUUUAAAUGGACACGAUACGCGACUCCACUUAAUUGGAGUCGCGGUUAGAAUGCAGGUGCCCAGUGACCCAUUUUUGGUAAGCAGAACAGGCGCUUUGAGAUGAACCCAACGUACGGUUAAGGCGCUCGACAUAACGGUCAUGACAUACCAUAAAAGGCGUUGAUCAAUAUUGAAAGCAAAGCGGUGGCCACGGAAGUCGGAAUCCGCUAAGGAGUGUGUUAUAACUCACUUGCCGAAUCGACUAGCCCUGAAAAUGGAUGGCGCUAGAGCGCUAGGCUUAUACCUCACCGUUACUGUAUAUUGUACGCAUUAAUAAGUAGAAGGACGUUCUGGUAGUAUCGAAGCUACUUGAUUUGAACUUUGAAGGCUGACGUGGAGAAGGGUUCAAUGUGAACAUUAAUUGGACAUGGAUUAGUCGGUCCUAAGCGAUCGAAGAAAUCCGUUCAGAAUGUAUUUAUUUGAUUGACAAGUUUUUGAUUUUGUAAGGAAUUUGAUACUGUGAUGGAAAGGGAAUCAAGUUAAAAACGAACUUUCAACCGAAUCCUUGCUCAGCAAGAUAUGAUAAACCAAAAUUUAGACGAACAUCUUGCCACAACAUUAGUU
rnacentral:ncRNA from 1 species